AUUGAAUAGACGAGUUCAGAAAUGUGAAGUUUAUAAGCAGACCUUAGAAAAAUUUAAUUCUUCAGCAUUGCGCAGUUUAUCAAAAUUGUAAUAAGUACAACAAUUAACUUAUUGAAUAUUGUGAUUUAAAAUAACGCGUAUAAAAUGGUCCAUUAUAUUGUCAAUGAAUAAUCUAAGAAUAAAACUUUACAUAUAUAUAUAAAUACUUCCUCGUAUUUACACUUCUUGGAAAACUACUGUGCCUAUGUGGAGAACGGAUAGUUCAUUGUAUAACACGCUUUAAUUUGUACUUUGUCGUUUAAAUUGACGUUGAAAUAAGAACAUCAAAUCAACGUGACAGCAUUCUUUAUUCGUUGAUUCUUUUGGAUCCUUGAUUUUUGGAUAAAAAAUGUACUUUCAUUUAUAUUUCUAGAGUGUGUUUGAAAAUUUGAAAGUCAUUCCAAGGAUCACUGCAAAUACGAAUUAGCAGGAACUGCAACGCAUCCUACAAUAGUUUUGAUUGGAUAACGAAAUAUAGUUCAUCAUGGAGUACGUCGAUGCUACAAAAAAGGAAAGCAAUGACAACUCUUUCAACUCAACAUCUUGUUCUGAAUUAGUAUCAAACACGAAUUCCAAUGAGGACUCAACAAUAGGAACAAAGGAUUCAGCAUUAAAACGUGAAGUUCAAAACUCGCAAACAGAAGAUAAUGAUAAUUCAAUUACCUCAGAAAAUUCAUCACAAGAGAAUAUAGACUUUAAAGUGAUUUAUAACAAACAGAGAAUAAAUGUAAAUUUUGCGCUUGACGGUACUGUGGCAGAAUUAAAAGCGCACCUUCAGAACAUCAUAUCUGUGCCACAAGCUAUGCAGAAAGUUAUGAUCAAAGGAUUAGCCAAAGAUGAACAAACACUUAGAAGUUUGGGUGUUACAAAAGGUGCCAAAGUCAUGGUAGUAGGAUCAAAGUUAGACGACGUGUUAGCUGUGUCAAUUCCAACGAAACAAGAUCUUUCGGAUGAAGCUGCUUCCACUACAAAUAAGGAACCUUUAUCUCAACAGAAAAUGCAUAGGAAAGUAUUAGAUAAGGGUAUCCCUGAAGAUGUCAUGCCUGGUAUAUUAAAUAGUAAGGAACCUUUACCAGAAUUUCCAUUGGCUGGUAUGUUAAAUAAAUCUGGUGGUAAAGUUAGAUUAACAUUUAAAUUGGAACAAGAUCAACUAUGGAUCGGUACAAAAGAAAGAACAGACAAAAUACCUAUGAAUUCUAUAAAAGGUGUACACAGUGAACCAAUUCAUGAUCAUCCAGAAUAUCACAUUAUGGCCAUACAACUAGGCCCAACAGAAGCUUCAAGAUAUUGGAUAUACUGGGUUCCUGCGCAAUACAUAUCUGCUAUAAAAGACGCUAUCCUUGGCAAAUGGUGCUACUUCUGAUCAACCGUUGAUGGAAAUUUCUGUUUCUUCAAAAGCAAAGUGUAAUCAGGUGUAAGCAUUGAUACAAACACGACUGUACUAGUCACACAUUUUUAACAGAGGAAACGAAGAAAGAAGUUAUGAUGUUGCAUUUACAAUCUUUUGAAGUUCGUCGAGAAAUAAUUCAACUUUUUAUUUUUCAACUUUUAAAUUCGAUUAAAUUCGAAUUAUUUUAAAUUUUAUUUUAUGUUUAACAUCAAAAUACCUUUUGUAAAUGUUAUGCUUAGCAAAAGAAGAAUAAUCGAGAAUUAAUUUUCCUAUAUACAGUGCGAGGCAAAAGUAAGUAGACAAUGUUCAAAAUAGAAUACCUCGGUUAAAAUUGCACUAAAUAACUUGAGGUUUUUUGAAAAGCUAUAAAAAUUAAUUCA